AUUGAACGCUGGCGGAAUGCUUUACACAUGCAAGUCGAACGGCAGCGCGGGCUUCGGCCUGGCGGCGAGUGGCGAACGGGUGAGUAAUAUAUCGGAACGUACCCAAGAGUGGGGGAUAACGUAGCGAAAGUUACGCUAAUACCGCAUACGAUCUAAGGAUGAAAGCAGGGGAUCGCAAGACCUUGUGCUCCUGGAGCGGCCGAUAUCUGAUUAGCUAGUUGGUGAGGUAAAGGCUCACCAAGGCAACGAUCAGUAGCUGGUCUGAGAGGACGACCAGCCACACUGGAACUGAGACACGGUCCAGACUCCUACGGGAGGCAGCAGUGGGGAAUUUUGGACAAUGGGGGCAACCCUGAUCCAGCAAUGCCGCGUGAGUGAAGAAGGCCUUCGGGUUGUAAAGCUCUUUUGUCAGGGAAGAAAAGGCUGUGGCUAAUAUCCACAGCUGCUGACGGUACCUGAAGAAUAAGCACCGGCUAACUACGUGCCAGCAGCCGCCGUAA
rnacentral:rRNA from 1 species